CAUGAUCAAUAUCAAUACAUAUCAAAAUGUCAUCAUUAAAAUUUGAUAAUUUCAAACUAAACAUAAAAUCUAGAUUAAAAUUUUGAGAAAUCCUUUUGAACUUCUGACUUUACUUCCCAUAUUUCAAAAUCUAGAAUUUCAUUCCUAGAAUUCGAUAUUAUCACAAUAAACAUAAACAUAAAAUCUAAUAUACAUUUUUGAGCAAUCAUUUUGAACUAUUUAGCGACCCUUAAAUCUUUGUGUAGGAUCAGUGAGGAACUUAAACACUUUCUCAGCUGAUAGAGGAACCUAAACACUUUCUCAAUAGAGAUCCUGAUGCCUCCAAUGCUAUCUUGAAUUAUCUUUGGAAAUCCCAAGUUACUUGAAAUGGUUAAACAUUCACAGAACAUCUUAACCAUUCAAUGAGAAAGCAUCAACACACUCUUCAUUACACACUUUGUUUCUGUUUUUCUAUCUUUAAUGUGCUUCACUGCUCCAUCUAAAGUUUCGCGAAAAAGACCAUACGAGAAGCCAUUGUUGUGUAACGCUUGUGGAUUGCAUUUCAAGUCUAAAGAACCCUUGAAAACUAUAUCCCGAAGAUAGCCCAGCAAAAUCUGUUAGUGGUUGCAGAAUCUACCUGCCAAAGAAAUUAAAAUCAAAGCAUCUUAGUACUCCAAAAAUAAAAUAAAAAAUCAAUGCGACACCUAGGUGAUUGUAUAAGUAAUGCAUAAUAUCAAGAGACUUUAAUGUGAUUGUAUUAGUAUCUAUUGUUAUGGAUUAGGUAUUUUUAAUUGAGACGAGAUGAUUAGAUUUUACAACAUUUAAUUAGCAGCAAUGACAUGCACCACCCAAUUCGAAAAGAAAAACAAGAUCAAGAUCAGCAGUUCAACACAAUCCGAAUUAAAAAAAUGAAAUAAAGCGACUAAUAACCAUGUAAACGAUAACUAUAUACUUGAUCAGAAUCAAUAAAUAUCGAAAUAUUGAAUGUUUGCACUACAAUUAGAUAAAUUAACAAUUCGAAACAUAAAAUCUAACGUAAAUCAAAUUUAUGAGUACCAUUUUGAUCGAUCUGUCCUAUUGACCUUCAGACUUGAAUCCCAUCCAGUUUGCUUUUUUAAUCAAAGAAAUCACACUCGUUGACGAUGAAAUCAUGAUCAAGGACGAGCAUCAGGUCACAAUGAACCUGCAACAAGUUGUUCCAGAAAAAAAUUAAAAUAAGAACACGGAAGUAAUAAAAUGGUUUGGCAGAAAUGACAAUGAAUAGAUGCAAUCAGAUCCAAUUCACAUACCUGUGUGUAGUUAAACCAAGAGAACGUUCUGUCUACAUUUGGUUGAAAUGAUUGACAGCAGAUAAUAAUGUGAAG
rnacentral:lncRNA from 1 species